rnacentral:misc_RNA from 1 species
AGCGUCAUUACACCCCUCAAGCGUAGCUGGUAUUGGGUUCUCGCCCCCGUGGCGUGCCCGAAAAGCAGUGGCGGUCCGGUGUGACUUCAAGCGCAGUAAAUAAUCAUCCCGCUUCGAAGGUUCGCCCCGCGACCUGCCAAACAACCCCAUUCAUUUCAAUAAUUGACCUCGGAUCAGGUAGGGAUACCCGCUGAACUUAA